rnacentral:rRNA from 1 species
GAUGAACGCUGGCGGCGUGCCUAAUACAUGCAAGUCGAGCGAACAGACGAGGAGCUUGCUCCUUCGACGUUAGCGGCGGACGGGUGAGUAACACGUAGGUAACCUACCUAUAAGACUGGGAUAACUUCGGGAAACCGGAGCUAAUACCGGAUAAUAUUUCGAACCGCAUGGUUCGAUAGUGAAAGAUGGCUUUGCUAUCACUUAUAGAUGGACCUGCGCCGUAUUAGCUAGUUGGUAAGGUAACGGCUUACCAAGGCAACGAUACGUAGCCGACCUGAGAGGGUGAUCGGCCACACUGGAACUGAGACACGGUCCAGACUCCUACGGGAGGCAGCAGUAGGGAAUCUUCCGCAAUGGGCGAAAGCCUGACGGUGCAACGCCGCGUGAGUGAUGAAGGUCUUCGGAUCGUAAAACUCUGUUAUUAGGGAAGAACAAACGUGUAAGUAACUGUGCACGUCUUGACGGUACCUAAUCAGAAAGCCACGGCUAACUACGUG